GAUGAAGAACGUAGCGAAAUGCGAUACGUAAUGUGAAUUGCACAAUUCAGUGAAUCAUCGAGUCUUUGAACGCACAUUGCGCCCCCUGGUAUUCCGGGGGGCAUGCCUGUCCGAGCGUCAUUGCUGCCCUCAAGCACGGCUUGUGUGUUGGGCCUCCGUCCUCCUCCCGGGGGACGGGCCCGAAAGGCAGCGGCGGCACCGCGUCCGGUCCUCGAGCGUAUGGGGCUUCGUCACCCGCUCUUGUAGGCCCGGCCGGCGCUUGCCGACACAUCAAUCUUUUUUCCAGGUUGACCUCGGAUCAGGUAGGGAUACCCGCUGAACUUAAGCAUAUCAAUAAGCGGAGGA
rnacentral:misc_RNA from 1 species